ACCUCCGGCUUCCCGGUUAGCGCACGCACGCGGGACCGUCACCCACCCCGCCCUCCCGGUGGUGGCAGUGGCGCGUGCCCGCGGAGGCAGGUGUCAGCAGAGCCUAACUAAUCGCGACGCCCGCCCGCCUGGACGGGGCUUCAGAUCUUCGGGCCAGAAGCCCUAUGGUUGCAGUGACCUAAAGCUAAGAAAUAAAAGACUCUGGAAAACUAGCCCUUCACCUAUAGAAGACAUGACUGCCUUGUUGGAAAGGGAGUGCGGUAGUGCUUCCUCUGGCUCCUUUGGUCUAACCUGAGAACCGGGGAUUGAACUCAGGCACUUGC